rnacentral:rRNA from 1 species
GAUGAACGCUGGCGGCGUGCCUAAUACAUGCAAGUCGAGCGAACAGACGAGGAGCUUGCUCCUCUGACGUUAGCGGCGGACGGGUGAGUAACACGUGGAUAACCUACCUAUAAGACUGGGAUAACUUCGGGAAACCGGAGCCAAUACCGGAUAAUAUAUUGAACCGCAUGGUUCAAUAGUGAAAGACGGUUUUGCUGUCACUUAUAGAUGGAUCCGCGCCGCAUUAGCUAGUUGGUAAGGUAACGGCUUACCGAGGCAACGAUGCGUAGCCGACCUGAGAGGGUGAUCGGCCACACUGGAACUGAGACACGGUCCAGACUCCUACGGGAGGCAGCAGUAGGGAAUCUUCCGCAAUGGGCGAAAGCCUGACGGAGCAACGCCGCGUGAGUGAUGAAGGUCUUCGGAUCGUAAAACUCUGUUAUUAGGGAAGAACAAAUGUGUAAGUAACUAUGCACGUCUUGACGGUACCUAAUCAGAAAGCCACGGCUAACUACGUG